GACGUAGGGCGCGAGCGUUGUCCGGAUUUAUUGGGCGUAAAGAGCUCGUAGGCGGUCUGUCGCGUCGGCUGUGAAAUCCCGGAGCUCAACUCCGGGUCUGCAGUCGAUACGGGCAGACUAGAGUGCGGUAGGGGAGAUCGGAAUUCCUGGUGUAGCGGUGAAAUGCGCAGAUAUCAGGAGGAACACCGGUGGCGAAGGCGGAUCUCUGGGCCGUAACUGACGCUGAGGAGCGAAAGCAUGGGGAGCGAACAGG
rnacentral:rRNA from 1 species